GAUUAGAGUUUGAUCCUGGCUCAGGAUAAACGCUGGCGGCGUGCCUAACACAUGCAAGUCGAACGACCUUUUCUUUUUUUUGGAAGGGAGAGGGAGUGGCGGACGGGUGAGUAAGACAUGGGAACCUACCCUGAAGUGGGGGAUACCGGUGAGAAAUUGCCGACAAGCCCGCAUACGUUUCCGGCGCGAGAGUGGCGGAAAGAAAGUUUUUGCAAAAGGAUGCUUUGGGAUGGGCCUGUGGCCGAUUAGCUAGCUGGUGUGGUAAAAGCGCACCAGGGCGACGAUCGGUAGCUGGUCUGAGAGGAUGGUCAGCCACACUGGGAUUGAGAACGGCCCAGACUCCUACGGGGGGCAGCAGUGAGGAAUAUUCGGCAAUGGGGGCAACCCUGACCGAGCAACGCCGCGUGCAGGAAGACGGCCUUCGGGUUGUAAACUGCUUUUCCCAGGGACGAGUAAGGACGGUACCUGGGGAAUCAGCCCCGGCUCACUACGUGCCAGCAGCCGCGGUAAUACGUAGGGGGCGAGCGUUGUCCGGAGUUACUGAGCGUAAAGGGCGAGUAGGCGGUGAUGCGCGUUUCGGGUGCCAGCGGAGGGCUUACCUCUCCGAGUGCUCGGAAGACGGCAUGACUGGAGGGCUUCAGAGGGAGAUGGAAUUCCGGGUGGAGCGGUGAAAUGCGUAGAGAUCCGGAGGAACACCGCAGGCGAAGGCAGUCUCCUGGGAAGUACCUGACGCUGAGGCGCGAAAGCCAGGGGAGCGAACGGGAUUAGAUACCCCGGUAGUCCUGGCCGUAAACGAUGACCACCAGGUGUGCGGCGUAUCGACCCGCUGCGUGCCGACUCACACGAAGUAAGUGGUCCGCCUGGGGAGUACGGUCGCAAGAUUAAAACUCAAAGGAAUUGACGGGGACCCGCACAAGCAGCGGAGCGUGUGGUUUAAUCCGAUGCGACGCGAAGCACCUUACCAGGGCUUGACAUGAGCGUGACUCCCCCAGAGAUGGGGGUCCCUUCGGGGCAGGUUCACAGGUGCUGCGUGGCUGUCGUCAGCUCGUGCCGUGAGGUGUUGGGUCAAGUCCCGCAACGAGCGCAACCCUCGUGGUCGGUUAUGGGUGUCCGACCAGACUGCCACGCUCAACGUGGAGGAAGGUGGGGAUGACGUCAAGUCAGCACGGCCCUUACGUCCUGGGCGACACACACGCUACAAUGGCCGCGACAACGGGAAGCCAACCCGCGAGGGGGAGCCAAUCCCAGCAAACCCAGUCUCAGUUCGGAUGGGAGGCUGCAACCCGCCUCCCUGAAGUGGGAGUUGCUAGUAACCGUGAGUCAGCACAUCACGGUGAAUACGUUCCCGGGUCUUGUACACACCGCCCGUCACACCACGAAAGUCGGCAACCCCUGAAGCCGCUGGGCUAACUCGUCUUCGGACGAGAGGCAGGCGUCGAGGGUGGGGUCGGUGAUUGGGGUGAAGUCGUAACAAGGUAGCCGUAAAU
rnacentral:rRNA from 1 species